rnacentral:tRNA from 1 species
AGAUUAUGAAGUAAAAGGUUUACACUGGGAUUGCAAAUCUUAAGUCAGGGGUUCGAUUCCUCCAUAAUCUU